rnacentral:rRNA from 1 species
AUUGAACGCUGGCGGCAUGCUUUACACAUGCAAGUCGAACGGUAACAGGCCUUCGGGUGCUGACGAGUGGCGAACGGGUGAGUAAUGCAUCGGAACGUGCCCAAUCGUGGGGGAUAACGUAGCGAAAGUUACGCUAAUACCGCAUAAGCCCUGAGGGGGAAAGUGGGGGACCGCAAGGCCUCACGCGAAUGGAGCGGCCGAUGUCAGAUUAGCUAGUUGGUGGGGUAAAGGCCCACCAAGGCGACGAUCUGUAGCGGGUCUGAGAGGAUGAUCCGCCACACUGGGACUGAGACACGGUCCAGACUCCUACGGGAGGCAGCAGUGGGGAAUUUUGGACAAUGGGCGAAAGCCUGAU